UGUAUACCGUACCUUGUUGCUUCGGCGGGCCCGCCGCGCAAGCGGCCGCCGGGGGGGGCGUCAAACCCCCCUCCCUAGGCGAGCGCCCGCCGGAGACACCAACGUGAACACUGUCUGAAGUUUUGUUGUCUGAGUUCGAUUGUAUCGCAAUCAGUUAAAACUUUCAACAAUGGAUCUCUUGGUUCCGGCAUCGAUGAAGAACGCAGCGAAAUGCGAUAAUUAAUGUGAAUUGCAGAAUUCAGUGAAUCAUCGAGUCUUUGAACGCACAUUGCACCCCCUGGUAUUCCGGGGGGUAUGCCUGUCCGAGCGUCAUUGCUGCCCUCAAGCACGGCUUGUGUGUUGGGUCGUCGUCCCCCCUCCCGGGGGGGACGGGCCCGAAAGGCAGCGGCGGCACCGCGUCCGGUCCUCGAGCGUAUGGGGCUUUGUCACCCGCUCUUGUAGGCCCGGCCGGCGCUGGCCGACGCUGAAAAGCAACCAACUAUUUCUCCAGGUGACCUCUUAUCAUGUUU
rnacentral:misc_RNA from 1 species